rnacentral:ncRNA from 1 species
AAGUGACUUAAGAGGCAACUCUUAACUGGCCAGGUAAGGAAAAGCCGAGAGGUUCAAGCUUACAGGGCAGAAAGCCCCGCAGAGUAGCGCUAAACAUAGUGGGGCGGCGGGAUCGGCGGUAGCGCCUUACAACGACGAUCCAU